rnacentral:rRNA from 1 species
UACGUAGGGUGCAAGCGUUGUCCGGAAUUAUUGGGCGUAAAGAGCUCGUAGGUGGCUUGUCACGUCGACUGUGAAAACCCGGGGCUCAACUCCGGGCCUGCAGUCGAUACGGGCUGGCUUGAGUGCGGUAGGGGAGACUGGAAUUCAUGGUGUAGCAGUGAAAUGCGUAGAGAUCAUGAGGAAGACCAGUGGCGAAGGCGGGUCUCUGGACAGUUCCUGACACUGAGACACGAAGGCCAGGGGAGCAAACGGG